CUAGUUCUUAAAUUCAUAGGUAUUUAGCUUUAUGUGAGAGAUUAUAAUUGAUCAAAAGAAUAUAUUACAUCAUAUAUUCAAUAGCUAUUUACAAAAUGACCUCCAUGGGUAUUGUAUGAAUUCAUAAUAAGUAUAUAUACACAGCUAGUAAUGUUCCUGUUUAAUGGUCUAAGGACAACAUAUCCAUAUGAAUAGUAGUUGGAUCUGUUGUAAUCUAUGUACAUAGAAAAAAAGUAAAAUAUAAAAAA